AGCGAACGCUGGCGGCAGGCUUAACACAUGCAAGUCGAACGCCCGUAGCAAUACGGGAGUGGCAGACGGGUGAGUAACGCGUGGGAACAUGCCCUUUGGUUCGGAAUAACUCAGGGAAACUUGAGCUAAUACCGGAUAAGCCCGAGAGGGGAAAGAUUUAUCGCCGAAGGAUUGGCCCGCGUCCGAUUAGCUAGUUGGUGAGGUAAUGGCUCACCAAGGCGACGAUCGGUAGCUGGUCUGAGAGGAUGAUCAGCCACACUGGGACUGAGACACGGCCCAGACUCCUACGGGAGGCAGCAGUGGGGAAUAUUGGACAAUGGGGGCAACCCUGAUCCAGCCACGCCGCGUGAGUGAUGAAGGCCCUAGGGUUGUAAAGCUCUUUCGGCGGGGACGAUAAUGACGGUACCCGCAGAAGAAGCCCCGGCUAACUUCGUGCCAGCCGCCGCAGUAAGAC
rnacentral:rRNA from 1 species